CAUCAGCCAAAAUACCAUUCAAUCCAUGUUUAUGAAGAAGUGCUAACCAGUUUAAACCAAUUUUCUGGUACGGCUUGAGUUCCAAACUCUGAUUCAGAACGGAGGGUUGCUCUAUGUUCCACCUGCAUCCUCCAUCUUCUGUAAUCUUGGUUACUUGUUUUGUCAGUUUAUUUGAAAUUUCUUCACAUUUAUUCAUGAGCUUGAGAACCACAUCUCUCUCCUUCAGCAGGGUCUUGCAGUUCCACACAAUGUCUUCUGACAAGCCAGCAGUCUUAGUUAUUUUUGAAAGCAAGUGCCACUGCUUUUCCUUCUGUCGUGGACUGUGGUUUAUCCUUCUGAUGCUUUACCUUACUAAUAAAAACACAGCAGUUUCC
rnacentral:lncRNA from 1 species